CCAGCCUCAGCUUCCUCUGAAUCCACGGAUUUCCACAGCCAAUCUGAGGCUUGCUCAUCAAGAAGAGACCAGAUCACAGUAUUACACAACAUGCGAUCCGUCUGCAUUUGUGAUGCAACUGAACUUCAGGCAAUAAUCAUCCUUUGGCUUGCAAGAAGAGAAGUGGACGAUAAAUUGUCUAGCUUCACAGGUGCAGUACCAUCCAUCAUGAAAGUUCAGUUACACAGUUCUUCAGGCUUGUCAUUAAGGAAAUCGCUCCAGAGGUUUCUCCAGAAGAGAAAAGACAGAAUUCAAUCAGCUACUCCUUACAAGCACAAAUUCCUUUGAAAUUGUGGAGCAUAAUUAAAUAAAAUGGAGGAUAUAGUGGAGAAGGAUGAUGUACACCUCCUUCCUAGUACUUAAUAGUUAUGAUUUGGAUCCAAGAAGCUCUUUGUUGGGAGAAUUUAGAGAAGGCAGACAAGAGGGUUCUGUGGGAGUUGGGAUUUUUACACUCCACGAUUGCACGCAAGAAAAUGUGUUUACAAGCAUGGAGGCACAUC